AGAACGUCUUCAUGCCUUGAAAGAAAUUGUUAAGAAAUUUCAUCCUGUAAACUAUGAUGUAUUCAGAUACGUGAUAACACAUCUAAACAGGGUUAGUCAGCAACAUAAAAUCAACCUAAUGACAGCAGACAACUUAUCCAUCUGUUUUUGGCCAACCUUGAUGAGACCUGAUUUUGAAAAUCGAGAGUUUCUGUCUACUACUAAGAUUCAUCAAUCUGUUGUUGAAACAUUCAUUCAGCAGUGUCAGUUUUUCUUUUACAAUGGAGAAAUUGUAGAAACGACAAACAUUGUGGCUCCUCCACCACCUUCAAACCCAGGACAGUUGGUGGAACCAAUGGUGCCACUUCAGUUGCCGCCACCAUUGCAACCUCAGCUGAUACAACCACAAUUACAAACGGAUCCUCUUGGUAUUAUAUGAGUAGGAAGUGAUUGCAAACAGGCUGGAUUUGGACAAAAAGCAAAUCUAGACAUGCAUGUUUCAGGGUUCAGUAGUAUACUUCAUGUUUCAUACAGAUAAUUCACAUUCAAAAUUACAUUUUCUCUUUGAACUAGAUGGUAUUCCUUAUUCACUUACAUUACAAAUCUAAGACCAUGUGAUAAGCAUGACUGGAGAGGUUUAAUUUUUAUAAACAAAAAUAGCUAUAAAGUACAAAGCUGCUGCUGCAUGCAACCUUAUUGCAAUCAGUAUAUCAUUCCUGUGGCAAUUUCUGUCACCUUAUAUUGUGAAUAAAAUUUUUCUAUAGAAAUUAAAUGAUUUAAAAACUCACCUAUAUGAAACAUUUAAUGCUUUUCAGCCUGCUUUCUGGCUGAUUUUGUUAUUUGAUGUGCUAAUUUGGGCAACUUAAUUUACAUUCUGGCAGUCGGUGUAGAUAACUAAAAGCCCAGUUAAGUAUUUUAUAAUUUCAGGCUACUGAGGCCAUGCUUGGGAUGUUGUUUGAAAGAAAGAAAAAAUACACUUGACAUAUUUCACAUUUCUGUACCUUCAUCUUUACUUCCAAGUAAACCCGUGGAUGAUUUGAUGAGGGAUAAAUGAACCUAUUUCUUUUACACACAUACCAAGGACAUGCUUGUGGCUAAAGUGAGUUGAUAAUGUUGUGCAAAGGAUAGUUGUCACCAACUCAUUUCUUUAUGGUCCAUAAUGAAAUAAAAAUUUUGUAUACUGUUAAUUCUGUAAACAGAUGCAUGUUCAAAAGAUCUAUGAUGGUCUUGUAAUCUUAAUCUAAUAUAUUUUAGAUAUUUUAAUUUUUUCCCUCUUGGGGAACACAUUUAGUAUAGUGUAGAAAAUACUUCCAUGACAUUUUCAUAUAAGGUUAUAUAACUUUUCAUACAUAAACAUGAAAUUUGUUGUAGAAAAUUCUUUAAACCAAACAUUUAAAUCUAGGACUUCAAUUUAAUUUGUUCCUUGAAUCUAUUUUUAUGUGGCCCUUAAAAAAUAUCCAAAAAACCCAUUGCUAAUAUAGCAAUAAAAAUACUUUGGGUACUGACAGACUCUUUGGAGUGUUUAUAUUACAAAUUUGUAUUCAUAUUCUUUUCUGUGAUGUGUUGUACUAAAAUCCAAAAUGGCUUUUGCACCAUUUUUAAGCCAAUUUUUUCCUUUGAUGUUGGUACCAGAAUUACUAUAAGUGACUGCUGCUUUUGGGGGUAAACAUUUUGUUAGUGAAGAUAAAACCAGAACACUAAAUUAUGGAUAAAAUUUUCAGAAUAGGUGGCACAGGUAAAUUUCACUAGGUUAUAUUUUGUGUAGUAAAGAAAAAAAUUAUUUGGUCAAUGUUAUCUUAAUUCAUACUACAAUUUAAGAUUAUCUUAUGUGUAUUAUAGUAAAUAGAUGAUUUUCAGAUUCAAGGCUCCUAAGAGUUUGAUUUGCUCUGUUUUUUCCU
rnacentral:lncRNA from 1 species